CCUACGGGAGGCAGCAGUAAGGAAUAUUGGWCAAUGGGGGCAACCCUGAUCCAGCCAUCCCGCGUGCAGGAAGACGGCCCUAUGGGUUGUAAACUGCUUUUAUUAGGGAAGAACAGCWUCAAUGUAUUGGGGUAUGACGGUACCUAAAGAAUAAGCACCGGCUAACUCCGUGCCAGCAGCCGCGGUAAU
rnacentral:rRNA from 1 species